UACGUAGGAGGCGAGCGUUGUCCGGAGUUACUGGGCGUAAAGGGUGCGUAGGCGGUUCGUUAAGUCUGUUGUGAAAUCCCCGGGCUCAACCUGGGAAUGGCAAUGGAUACUGGCGAGCUAGAGUGUGUCAGAGGAUGGUGGAAUUCCCGGUGUAGCGGUGAAAUGCGUAGAGAUCGGGAGGAACAUCAGUGGCGAAGGCGGCCAUCUGGGACAACACUGACGCUGAAGCACGAAAGCGUGGGGAGCAAACAGG
rnacentral:rRNA from 1 species